rnacentral:rRNA from 1 species
AACGCGAAGAACCUUACCCAGGUUUGAAAGCAGAGCGCGUUACCAGAGAUGGUAAUUCCCGCAAGGGGUUCUGCACAGGUGCUGCAUGGCUGUCGUCAGCUCGUGCCGUGAGGUGUUGGGUUAAGUCCCGCAACGAGCGCAACCCUUAUCGUUAGUUGCCAACACGGAAGGUGGGAACUCUAACGAGACUGCCUAGGUUAACUAGGAGGAAGGUGAGGAUGACGUCAAGUCCGCAUGGCCUUUAUAUCUGGGGCUACACACGUGCUACAAUGGUCGAUACAGAAGGCAGCAAGACCGCGAGGUGGAGCAAAUCCUUAAAAUCGAUCUCAGUUCAGAUUGUAGUCUGCAACUCGGCUACAUGAAGUUGGAAUUGCUAGUAAUGGCGUGUCAGCAACAACGCCGUGAAUACGUUCCCGGGCCUUGUACACACCGCUCGUC